AUCUAUCUAUCUAUCUAUCUACCUACCUUCCUUCCUUCCUUCCCUCCUUCCUUAGCUUCUUGCCAUCGAUGUAAUUGGUCGAACUGUCAAAUCAUGACACUAUUGAUCCCGCCCACGUGCGCAGCUACGCUGACUUGUAUAACAUGUUUGAUGCAGCUUUAUGUUUAAACCUAAUCAAUAUGAUUUACAAAUCAAAUAACAUGUACGUACACCAAAGAUGUACGCAGAGUUUGUCCAGUCUUUGAUGAGCCAGGAAACUAUGGCAACUAUGGCGUAUUUCUAAAUAAAUAUACUGUCCCUGAUAAUGAUAAACAACGACAAUGAAAUGUUGCAAUGUAAUGACGCUCUGUUGGAAACAGCCUAGCCAAUGUUCACUCAUAUUAAUAAUUUAACGAAACACGGUUGAGGACAUCAACUGCCUGGUUUGAAUGUAGUUGCAACAUUUAGAAACUUUUAUAAAUCACAUUUGGAAAUAAAACAAUAUAUUAAGGCAAUCUUCAGCUUUAAAAACGUCUUGCAAAAGAUAGGCAAGAGAGAUUAUGCCAACUCAUACUUUACACAACUCACACACGCGCACAUGUACGCGCGUACCCACACACACAUAUAGUCUAUGAUGAAAACUCUUUAUUGUUGUUGUACUUGAGAACAAUUAGAUCUACAGCGCAUUGUCCAUACAAUGAUGGGAUUAUGAGUUUGGGUCGAACAUUCAAACGUUUCGCCUGAGCUCAGCAAAGGCCAGAAGGACCAUGUCCCUCUCGCGCAGCUGACGGGGCUCUUUGCUUGUUCACCGCGCUUUUUCCCGAAAGGGCUCUGGAGACGGGACCAUUCAGGAGCCGGAACAAUAAAUGAGCGAGUUGGACGCCUCAUAAGCACUGAGUUUUGUAAAAGACACACAGACUAUGGAGCGCAGCCAAAAUGCCAGGAACAAAAGGCAACAAAUCUGACAAGAAAUCAGCCACCAAGCAACCUCAGAGUCCUAAGGAGCAACCGAAGAAAGCUGAUCAGAAAGGAGAUGACAACAAAAAGCAAGGAGGACAGCCGAAGGGAGAGAAGCAAUAAUUUCCAGGUAUUUGUAAAGAUGGCUCUGGAGACUCUGCUGAGAUCCUGCCAUCACAAGCAUGGGGGUCCUUGGGGUAGACAAGGCUGAAGAACCUCCCUUGGACCUGCAGACAGGCCAUCGCUACACAACUACGCUCACCUCUUCUCACAAGGGCAGAAAGUGACCCACAUUUCCAUCCGUGAUCCACUGGGUAUGCCCUUUCUUCCCACCCUGUUUCCCCUCCCUCAGUCUGCUCUGGAUUGUAGGAAGCUUGGAAAUGGAUGGUCACGAGGUCAAACUCAGCCAAUGAUCUGAGCUUCCCGAGAAACUGAGACCUUCAUCUACCCAAUUGUUCUCUCUUCCCACCCAAAGUUCCUUAUUUUGAUCAACUGUAACAGUCCAAACCAUUCUUGUAAAUAAGCAAAAUAACUAUUUCCUAAAACAGUCGUUACAUGUUCACACAGUAUAUGUUUUUGAAUUCUAUGUAAGAACAUGUCUGCUUGGCAGAAAUUGCUUACUCAAGGUAGCUUCCUUUAACAGUACUUCACAUAAACUUGAACCAAAGAUGAAUAGCGAUUCAGGUUUGAUACAAAAUGUAUUAAAAGGUAUCACAUAGCUCCCCCAGUAGCUUCACACAUAUUGUAUGUAAAAGUUUGACAAAACAAACCCUUGAGAUUAAUAUUUCACUAGGACAGUGGUGAAAGGUGGUGUGCUAAGGCUGUGCACUUGUGCCACAGAUAGAAUAACGAGACAGAUAUUUCACCAGAUGUAUAAAGGUGAAGUAUCCGUUAGCCGUUUCCACUCACUACCAAAUAUGGUAGAGAGGAAGCCCAGCGGCCAGCAGUGGGAGAAGAUGGAAGGAGAUGGCCAUUCUGCAAAUUAAACAUUUGAUCAAUACAGUUCUGCUACAAAAACUAUAAAUCAGUUAAGAACAAAGUGGACUAAGUUUUGUAGACUUUCCCGUUUAUCAAAGUAAAAUACAAAAAAAAUGCUUUGUUUAGGUGUGCAAAGGCAAAUUGAGUUAUUGUACACUUCAGAGUACGCAUUCCCUAACCGAAAUGUGCAGAUGCAUGCUAGAACAGGCCAAUAGGAUCUCACUAGCUCGUGCUUGGCUCUGCCCACCUCCUUGCUUGUUCUGCCCACUAUGACUAAUUUGUUUACAUUGGAAACAGGCUGUGGUCUAUAAAAAUAUUUUAUUGUGCAUUGCAAUGCAAAUGAGUUGAACCUUGUAUUCUACAGGAAAGCCUACUAAAUUAUAGUAUAUUUAAUAUCUCGUGGACAGAUGUACGUAAAUAUAACAGAUACUGUAGAAUCUGUCGGUAAGGAAUGGGAUGUGUGGGAUAACCAGCAGCAGUACGAUUCAGUUUAUGUGCAGUGUUCAGGAGCAGUAUGCAUUCCAUUAAAAAUAAAUUUCCUUAAAAGGCAUGUUUUUUAAAAAAGAGCAGGAUAUAGAAAAUGACCAAAGCCUUUAGUUACUGAUGCAACUUCAAACAUCAUCUUAAUUUUGCAUCGAAAACAGGAAGUUAUGUAUUUUCAUAAUCUGCUUUACAGCAACAUGAAGAACUCUGACUGACCAAGUAAAGACUUUAGUAUUCCUUCUUCACUGAACUACAAUAAUUUGUAAACUAUAUCACAGUUACAUAGUUAUUAACAGGACAAUGGGAAAAACUGGCUAACAUUUGGCACUGAUUGACAUGAUUAUUUCCAUAAAUAAAAUAAAUUAUAUUUCUACUAAAAUCCACAAAAGGAAAGUUGCUGCCUAAUAAUUAUGUUUUGUGCAGUCAUACAAACAGAAACUUUCUUAAUCUCCAACCUGGGUUUUAUUUACAUACUAUACAGAUGUAAUAACUAAUUAGGUUGUAUUAGAAAAAUAUAUAGCCUAAUAUAGAGAAACAGGAAAACAAUACUUAAAUGGCAUAUUCUGGAAUCACUUCUGAAAACGAGUUCUUAGCAGUCCAUAAGAGUGAAUGAAUGACCACUGCCAUGCUGACAGGGUGGGUAUCGAUUGAGAAUCACAGUGAGAUGUCAGAUAGCAGAUCCUGAUCAGUCUUUCCACAAGGGACGAAUGCAGCAGCUCAAAGAAAAUGUGAUUAAAAACAAAAUUAAGCGAUUAAUGAAGAGUGGGGCAUUAUUUUAAGAGUAUCAAAAAUAGUUUGUCACCAGCAGGUUACAGUAAGUAGAUAGCCCAAUCUCUUAGGCGGUGUCCUGAGCACUGCAUGUUGGUCUUGAGUAAAAUAGUUUCUAUACUGUACAGAGGGGUGGUUCAUUUCUCUCCACGUCUCUAUCCCCAGCUCGCUCUCUCUCACAGACACACAUUUAGAGGAUGAUGCGGUAGAGCACCCAGCAGCCAAACGUCACCCAGUGGCUGGCCCAGCUCAGCUCCGACCACUUCUGAAUGGUGUGGUUGGCCACGUCACUCUGUAAAGGGAGAGAACGUAGACAUGGGUUUGAAAUGUCUAACUCAACCAUAAUGCUUCGUUCUAAAAGAUCUGACGAUGACGCAAAGUCAUGUAUGCAUUUGACCAUCUUAGAGACUGACACCAUUUAGUAAAUAGUUACCUUUUCAUCCAUGUAGUCAACACUGGAGUUGAACAGAGAGCCCAGGUAUGCCAGGUGGAAGACAGCCAGGGUGCUGAAGGCUACGUUAAAGACGUACACCCACAGGACCUGUGUGGAUGGGCGGAGCAGAAGAGAUUGCAAACAUUCUUAUUGGUGAUUUUUUGGCAUUGGUUAAAGGAAAGGUUCACCCAUUUUGAACAUUGUGUUUUUGUGCAUCUUUGAGUGAUGUUCCCUGGGUCAUCAUUUUUAUUGGCGUUCAAGCAGGCAGACAUCCUUGCUGCACCCUGACAGUCGCUCUCACUACACUGGAAGGUAACAGGAAUACAACUUCUAGAUUAUGACAGACGUUUUCACACGUCAUAUUUCAAUACUGGUCGAUGUCAGAACUCCGGAGGACAUCUUUCGAAUGAGCCAUUGAUCAUAUUUUUGCGAUAUUCCUACCUUGAGAAAUACAGUGGGGUAAAAAAGUAUUUAUUCAGCCACCAAUUGUGCAAUUUCUCCCACUUAAAAAGAUGAGGCCUGUAAUUUUCAU